GGGGGAAGAUGGCGGCAGGUGCCGGAGUGGCGAGGGACCGGUGAUCACGGUAGGACCGGCGGCAGGCAGCGGCGGCAUCGGCAGCAGUGAGGAGGCGGCGGCAGAGACAGUGGUGGAGGCAGCAGUGAAGAUCAGUGAAAAUGAGCCUUCCCGCAAGAAUGAAAAAAAAUAAUUAUGACAAAUGUGGAAUAUAAAAUAAAAGCAUUCGGGGCUGGUAUCAGAUUACCUGUUCUUGACCCCAGUGCUGUAUGAGACCCCCAAUUUGUGGAUGGCAUACCUGUACCAUUUUUCAAAACCAUCAUCAG